GGAUAUGGGGUUAUGGGGCGCUAUGGCGUGGGGCAGAUAUGGGGUUAUGGGGUCGGAUAGAGGGUUAUGGGGUUAUGGGGCGAUAUGGGGCGAUAUGGGGCGCUAUGGGGCGAUAUGGGGCGCUAUGGGGCGUUAGGGGGCGCUAUGGGGCGGUUAUGGGGUUAUGGGGUCGGAUAUGGGGUUAUGGGGUUAUGGGGUCGGAUAUGGGGUUAUGGGGUCGGAUAUGGGGUUAUGGGGCGCUAUGGGGGCAGAUAUGGGGUUAUGGGUCGGAUAGAGGGUUAUGGGGUUAUGGGGUUAUGGGGCGAUAUGGGGCGAUAUGGGGCGCUAUGGGGCGAUAUGGGGCGCUAUGGGGCGAUAGGGGGCGCUAUGGGGCGGUUAUGGGGUUAUGGGGUCGGAUAUGGGGUUAUGGGGUCGGAUAUGGGGUCGGAUAUGGGGUUAUGGGGUCGGAUAUGGGGUUAUGGGGUCGGAUAUGGGGUCGGAUAUGGGGUUAUGGGGCGCUAUGGGGGCGGAUAUGGGGUUAUGGGGUUAUGGGGUGGGGGGUUUAGGGGGUUAUGGGGCGAUAGGGGGCGAUAUGGGGCAGUUAUGGGGUUAUGGGGCGCUAUGGGGCAGUUAUGGGGUUAUGGGGCGCUAUGGGGCAGUUAUGGGGCGCUAUGGGGCAGUUAUGGGGUUAUGGGAUCGGAUAUGGGGUUAUGGGGCGCUAUGGGGGCGGAUAUGGGGUUAUGGGGUCGGAUAUGGGGUUAUGGGGGCGGAUAUGGGGUUAUGGGUUAUGGGGUGGGGGGGGGUUAUGGGGUUAUGGGGCGCUAUGGGGGCGGAUAUGGGGUUAUGGGGUCGGAUAUGGGGCGAUAUGGGGGCGGAUAUGGGGUUAGGGGGGCGGAUAUGGGGUUAUGGGGUCGGAUAUGGGGCAGUUAUGGGGCGCUAUGGGGCGCUAUGGGGCGCUAUGGGGGUAUGGGGCGCUAUGGGGCGCUAUGGGGAGCUAUGGGGCGAUAUGGGGCAGUUAUGGGGCGCAAUGGGGCAGUUAUGGGGUUAUGGGGUCGGAUAUGGGGUUAUGGGGGCGGAUAUGGGGUUAUGGGGUUAUGGGGUGGGGGGGUUAUGGGGUUAUGGGGCGCUAUGGGGCGGUUAUGGGGCGCUAUGGGGUGGGGGGGGUUAUGGGGUUAUGGGGUUAUGGGGUCGGAUAUGGGGUUAUGGGGUCGGAUAUGGGGUUAUGGGGUUAUGGGGUCGGAUAUGGGGGUAUGGGGGCGGAUAUGGGGUUAUGGGGUUAUGGGGUGGGUAUGGGGUUAUGGGGUCGGAUAUGGGGGUAUGGGGUCGGAUAUGGGGUUAUGGGGUUAUGGGGUCGGAUAUGGGGGUAUGGGGGCGGAUAUGGGGUUAUGGGGUUAUGGGGUGGGUAUGGGGUUAUGGGGGCGGAUAUGGGGUUAUGGGGUUAUGGGGUGGGGGGGUUAUGGGGUUAUGGGGCGCUAUGGGGCGGUUAUGGGGCGCUAUGGGGUGGGGGGGGUUAUGGGGUUAUGGGGUUAUGGGGUCGGAUAUGGGGUUAUGGGGUCGGAUAUGGGGUUAUGGGGUUAUGGGGUCGGAUAUGGGGGUAUGGGGGCGGAUAUGGGGUUAUGGGGUUAUGGGGUGGGUAUGGGGUUAUGGGGUCGGAUAUGGGGGUAUGGGGGCUAUGGGGUCGGAUAUGGGGUUAUGGGGUUAUGGGGUGGGGGGAGUUAUGGGGUUAUGGGGCGAUAUGGGGCGCUAUGGGGUCGGAUAUGGGGUUAUGGGGUCGGAUAUGGGGUUAUGGGGGCGAUAUGGGGCGCUAUGGGGCGCUAUGGGGGGGGGUGGGUAUGGGGUUAUGGGGCGAUCUGGGGCACUAUGGGGCGGUAUGGGGCAGUUAUGGGGUUAUGGGGUCGGAUAUGGGGUUAUGGGGUCGGAUAUUGGGGUAUGGGGGCGAUAUGGGGCGCUAUGGGGCGCUAUGGGGCGCUAUAGGGCAGUUAUGGGGUCGGAUAUGGGGUCGGAUAUAGGGUUAUGGGGUCGGAUAUGGGGUUAUGGGGUUAUGGGGUGGGAAUGGGGUUAUGGGGUGGGAUAUGGGGGUAUGGGGGCCAUAUGGGGCAGUUAUGGGGCGCUAUGGGGCGCUAUGGGGUCGGAUAUGGGGCUAUGGGGCUCUAUGGAGCAGUUAUGGGGGUAUGGGGUUAUGGGGUUAUGGGGCGCUAUGGGGCAGUUAUGUGGUUAUGGGGUUAUGGGGUCGGAUAUGGGGUUAUGGGGUUAUGGGGUGGGGGGGAAUGGGGUAUGGGGCGAUAUGGGGCGCUAUGGGGCGCUAUGGGGUCGGAUAUGGGGUUAUGGGGUCGGAUAUGGGGCGAUAUGGGGGCGGAUAUGGGGUUAUGGGGUCGGAUAUGGGGUUAUGGGGUCGGAUAUGGGGCGAUAUGGGGGCGGAUAUGGGGUUAUGGGGGCGGAUAUUGGGUUAUGGGGCGCUAUGGGGGCGGAUAUGGGGUUAUGGGGGCGGAUAUGGGGUUAUGGGGUCGGAUAUGGGGGUAUGGGGUCGGAUAUGGGGCGAUAUGGGGGCGGAUAUGGGGUUAUGGGCGAUAUGGGGCGAUAUGGGGUCGGAUAUGGGGUUAUGGGGUCGGAUAUGGGGUUAUGGGGUUAUGGGGUGGGGGGGAAUGGGGUUAUGGGGCGAUAG
rnacentral:lncRNA from 7 species